GUGAGCCCCACCUCCCCCUCGGCCUCCCCGUCCCCUCCGCCCCUGCCCUCCACCGCCCUGCCCCCAAGCCCGCCCCAGGCGCCUCUCCCGCCUCCGCCGGGACCGAACCCCAGCAGCUACCCCACCGUCUCCCCUCCCCUCAGACGACGGGUGUCACUUGUGUGGCGUCGUUCCCACGGUAACCUGUGCGUCGUGCUCCCCCCUGCUCUUCUGCGACGUGUGCGAUGGAAUCUUCCACCGCAACCCAGCGAGAGCCAAUCACAAGAGAGAGCCGAUUCCACCCGCCAAAAAGGAGUACUGCUCCAUCUGUGGCGUCCUGCCAGUGGAUAUGGACUGCCCCGUCUGUGUCAUGAAGUUCUGCCUGGUGUGUGACGGGGUCUACCACCAGCACCCCGAGCGCGCCGGGCACCCGAGGACCGCCCUGACGCCGCCCAGGGCCAGCAGCUCCCUUCCCUACAGUUCUCUCAACAUUAGACAUUAAAGAAGGACUAACUGUACCUCUCCUCCAGCUCCCUUCACUACAGUUCUCUCAACAUUAGACAUUAAAGAAGGACUAACUGUACCUCUCCUCCAGCUCCCUUCCCUACAGUUCUCUCAACAUUAGACAUUAAAGAAGGACUAACUGUAGCUCUUAUCUCAACAUUAGACAUUAAAGAAGGACUAACUGUACCUCUCCUCCAGCUCCCUUCCCUACAGUUCUCUCAACAUUAGACAUUAAAGAAGGACUAACUGUACCUCUCCUCCAGC
ensembl:lncRNA